CAGUAUCAGUGAGCCCCUCUGGUGAAAUAGUGGAGGGCAGUUCAGUGACUCUGACCUGCAGCAGUGAUGCCAACCCACCAGUGCAGAGAUACACUUGGUAUGUGAAUAAUAGAGCUGUCUCCUCAGACACAGGGGGACCAGAGGACAGUUAUACCAUUAAAAGCAUCACACUGCAGGAUGCAGGAGAAUACUACUGUGCGGCAGAGAAUGGGAUUGGGAGAAAAACAUCUACUCCUAAACGUCUUGAUGUGCAAUAUGCUCCCAAGAACACCUCAGUAUCAGUGAGCCCCUCUGGUGAAAUAGUGGAGGGCAGUUCAGUGACUCUGACCUGCAGCAGUGAUGCCAACCCACCAGUGCAGAACUACACCUGGUUUAAGAAGAAUGACACUGGAGCCUGGCAGGCAGGAUCAGGACAGAGUUUGAACUUUUCUAACUUUAGAUCCUGGAACAGAGGACAGUACUACUGUGAGUCACAGAACAGACUUGGAGCUCAGAAUGCUUCUGCUCUGCUGGUCACAGUACAAGAGCAGAGCCUUCAGAGAGUGACAAACGCAGGCAGCGACACAAACUCUGCGCUUCAGAGAGCUGACGAGGCCUCAGUGUGGGAUUAAAACACACAGAGGAGAGAAUCUGCAGAGAAUGAGAAAUGGCGGAGAUCAGGGUGAAAGAGUCUCUUUUUGUAUUUAACUUCACAGAACUGCUGUAUGUUUCUGCUAGAAUCUCCAUCUUAUAAAGAGCUGCUGGUGGAGGAUUUUUCCCAAAGUACUGUAACCCUGCUGCAACAUGCAUGUUCAUGUAACCCUGCUGCAACAUGCAUGUUCAUGUAACCCUGCUGCAACAUGCAUGUUCAUGUAACCCUGCUGCAACAUGCAUGUUCAUGUAACCCUGCUGCAACAUGCAUGUUCCUGUAACCCUGCUGCAACAUGCAUGUUCAUGUAACCCUGCUGCAACAUGCAUGUUCAUGUAACCCUGCUGCAUGCAUGCUCCUGUGAAACCGUUACACGUUUAUAUAACCCUGUUACACACACGCUCAUAACUCAUGUACAUGCGCAUGUACUGUCUCACAUUGAAUGGGAAGAUUAUAAUGCAGAUUGUAAUCUCCAAACUCAGGUAACUUUUAAAAGCAAGGUCCAAAAUCUUUUAAAACAGUGUUUUAGCUUUACAUUUUACAUUGCCUUGUUGUAUUGACCCCAUUUUUACUUUCA